rnacentral:misc_RNA from 1 species
AUUUCGGUGUCGGCGGCGGGCGAGAUACAACGGCCGUUCGCGGAGCUGGCGAGCGAGCGGCGCUGAAAAGCAGCCGGAGAGACGACGGCGACCAGUACCGUGUCGACCAGUUCCCGAGGAAAACCGGAAGAGUCAGCCCGGCGAGGUCCCACAUGAGCAAUCCGGGAGCUGAGAAAUGGCGACCGAUGGCCAUAUCAAAUCCGUCCACCAAGUUGCGGAUGGCGAGGUCGAUGCCCCACUGGGUGAUGGUACGUCUUUCUUCAUGACCGCUCACACAGCAGGUCGUAUUCUUCAUCUAUCAUCGCUCUUGUCCAUGAUUGCUCAACAGCAACAACGGGAAGGGGAGCAGCAUCAAUUCCGGCCGCCGACACCUCCGAAGGCCCCGCCGCCGUCGCUCUCCGGCGACUGUGGUGACCCCGACUACGAGAUCAUCGAAUUCCCGACCCGACCGCAAGCCCAGAGACCCUCCACGACGACGACGUCGACGACGACGACGACGACGAUGACGACGACGCAUUCGCAGCCGUACGUCGGUAAGUGCGCCCUGUGCGGCACCGAGAACGUGUUCGCGCGUUGCGACACAUGCAACGCGAACUACUGCGAGGCCUGCGACGACAUGAACCACAAGCACCCGAAGCGGAAGCACCACGUUCGACGGAGAAUCCUGACGGACAACGCGAGCAGAAGCAGCAGACCGCCGUUGCCGCCGAAGGGCGAGAACCUGACGAGCCCGCCGGUGCCGCCGCCGCGAAGAAAUCGCAAGACCACUCAGGCCAAGUCGGCGCUAACCAAAGGAUCCGCGAAUCUGCCUUUGCUCGAUAAGGUCGGCAGCUUGAAACGAAACUUCCCCAACGCGAAGCCGUUGUCCACAAUACCGGACUCGAGCUCGAGAGUGUCCAAGUCCACGAAUACCUUAAAUGCAGUUUCCACCGACACCACAGGAUCAGUAACGGACAAGAUGACCACUCUGCAGGAGAGAUACAGAAAGUAUCAAGAGGCGAUGAAGGCUCAGGACGCGAAUAGGCGACGACACCCGUUGUCCGACACCUCGAGAGAUACCUUGGGCGGGAGACCGCUCAGCGUAGGCAGCCCGAAACCGGCACCGCAGCUUCCACCUCCGCCACCACCCAGAACUAUGAUACAAUCGGCCAGCGUCUGCGACCUGUCGGCCGCUCACAUGUGGAAUCCUGGAAUGCAUCAAGCCCAAUCGGUGGCGCAUUUGGGGCCCGGAGGUAUACCGAUGUGGUACCCGCCGAUGAACUCCUGGGACAUGUCGAUGAGAGGCUCCACCAUGAGCCUGCAUCAUCCGAGCAUGUGGGGAUACCACAUGGGCUACCCGCCGGCGCAGAUGCUGCCGUCGCAGCACUACCCGGGAUCUCUGUCGCGACCGCACAGCCCGGCCAGGAGCGUCAAGUCCAGCCGAAGGUCGAAGGCGGCGUCUCCGUCUCCCAGUCUCAAGUCCAGAAAAUCCUUCGCCUCGCGGUCGCGAUCGAGAAUCUCGCCGGGGUCACCAUCGGACGCGAGCUCAGAGGACUCUGACGAGUCCGACAUAGACGACAGACUCUCGCGAGGCUCCAGAAGCAGACGCGGCAGUGUGCCCAGGAGCAUACGACAGCGAAGCUACCACGACGACGAUGGCGCGAGGAGUCUCUUGUCCAGGAAUCGGCGAGAGAGACUGAUGUCCGAGGAGAGACUGACGAGCGCCGAUGAUCAAUGGUCCGAGAGUGCGUCCAGCAAACGAUAUCCUACGUCGUCGUCGUCGCGAAAACACGACGAGUUCAACAAGAAUAACACCAUCGCCUCCGAACGACGAUACAAUUAUGACAAUCGCUCAGCUCCCAAGGAUCCUCGACUGGAUCGCGUUCAGAACGCGACUUACCGCGACCGUCGGCGCAGCACCGACGAGGAAUCAUCCGAUCGGAAGGUUAACGCGCCCGGGCGAGCGCGAAUGACGAACUCGCCCGACGAUCGCUUUGAGAGAACGGAGAACAUUUCGAAGAGGGCGUCGUCCCUCCGGAGGGACGUACAUACACUGGACGAUCUGGAAAGAUCCUCCGCCCGUCGCGACUCCCACAGAUCGUCCUUCGACAGUGACGUCCAGGCCGCAAAAACACCCUCGCGAGAAGUGACUUCCCCGAAGAGGACAGCCAUGGAGCGAGCGCGUCUCUUGGAGGCGCAAUCUCCUCAAAGAGGACUGACCAGCGACGAUCGAAAGGACGAGAUCGAAUCGCGCUUCGCGAAGAAGGAACAACAGAGUCGCGACGCCUCGCGAGAUCGCGAGGUCUUCGCGAAUAGAGACUCGUCCCAGCGAGGGGAGGUUUCCGAAGACCUCGACAGGAUCUCCGCCAAGCGAAGCUCCAGGAGAUCCUCGCUCGAGUCCGACAAUCAGAGUCUCAAGAAGACAGUGAAGGAGACGUCGACGGGAAAGAAGCGGGACGAGGCUCGGGACUCCCAAUCAAAGACGAUCAGCGAUCCCCGUGUUACAGAGCGUCAACGUUCAAUCGAGAAGGACCAACGAGCUCGGGACUCGAGCAGGACCGGCGACGCUCAGCAGAAGAGGCAAAGCAGCGCUGAUACCAAGCGACAGGAAAUGAGAAGGUCUCAGUCUCAAGAGGACGCGAAAGCCACGAAGACGACGGACGCGAGAGUCACGAAGGCGACAAGCCCGAUCGAGAGCGCAUCGCCGAGGAAGGUCGCAGUGAACGAAGCGGCGAGUCCGAUGGAGAUACCGAAGGAGGAGUGGGCUUGCGAGCAUUGCACCUUCAUCAACAAGAUCAACGAUCGCGUCUGUGUGGUAUGCUGCAAGACGAAGAGCAGCGCGCUGCCGCCGAGCAAACCGGACGACGACCUCCAAGUGGCCGUCGAGCCUGUCGUGCUGCGAGCGCAAGCCAAAAGCAACGAACCAAACGGCGCCGGCGAUCCCGCUGCCGAUCUCGAGAAGAGGACCAAUCUGCUGAAGAUCUCGAACAGUGAGGAGAGCGGCGACAGCGGAUCCAUUAAGAACAAAGAUGCUAUCGUUCCGGACGACGAAACUCCCAUAGAAAAUCUCGAAAGCUGCACAAUCGAGGCUGCAGCUUCGCAGACGGAACACGCCUCGAGGUCCACAGCGACGACAUCACCGGCUAUGGAGAACAAGUCGUCAGAGGCACCAUCGUCAGAAUUGCUGUCCUCUUCAGCUGCCGAUACCUCGAAGGCGGAUCUCAAUAGAAAUUCAUCGCCGCAUCGGGAAAAUGUUCGAGGGCAGGUUGUGAAGAGUCAUUCUGUAUCCACGGGAACGUCCCCUCCGCCGCAGAAUAUUUCGACGCAAACGUAUGAGUAUCUUCCGGUGAGAGGUCCUCUCGGAAGGUCCGCGUCGGUGGCGACGUCCAAGAGCUACUUGUAUUACGACGACAGCGACGGAGAGGAGCAGAGCGGAUUCGCGAACAGUCCCGAUCUGUAUCCGCAGGCGUUCCAAGAGCAGGCGUAUCUGCAGCAACUGAUGUCAGGACCGACCAGGGAACAACGGACCAGGAGAAACUCCGUCGAGUCGACCCACCUCUAUUACCGUUCCAGGGAACCGAGCCAGCCGAGAUACACGGAGGCGGCUUCCACUUCCGGCCAACAAGGUGUCUCAACGUUGACGCGCCAAGGUUUGGAGGUGGUGGAGCUGCUGCGCGACGCCGAGAGGCAGGGCUUCACCACCGACGACGUUCAAGUGGCGUUAGCGCAGGGCGCGGCGAACCCGCUCGACUGGCUGAGGACGCAAUGGCCGCAUCUGGUGGAGACGGUGCAGGUGCUGGUGGCCGCGCAGGGCAAGGAGCUGAAGGAGAACACCGUCGGCGUCCUCUCGCCGGCCGAGGCGAAAGAGGCCCUGCGAUCGGUCAAGGGCGACGUGUGGAACGCUGUCGCCACGGCCAUCCGACGCAGGCAACGGAAGUGCGAACAAAUCAUGGCGAAGGGCAGCUUCGCGCUGGCGGAUGUCGUUAAAGCUCUGGAUAAUAACGCCGGCGUCGAGGACGCGACUCUGCUUGAGCUGCAGCGGAAUCAGCUGAAGCCCUUCUUAAUGAGGAUCUGGGGGCCUCCGGUCGGGGUGGAGAACGACGAGGCUGCACCGCACGAAGACGCAGCGGGUGCGGUCGGCGGCGGGGCGGGGUUGCCCGUGGAACAAAUACCGAAUGUGUCCGAUACGGAGGCGAGGAAGCAGGUAAUGUCACCAAUAGUUGAUCAUUUCGUGGCGUUGCAGGCCGACUUUCAAAAGCAACUGGCGGCCCUCCGAGAACUGGCCGAUAACUGGCGACACGAGAAAGACCCCUCGUACAAAUUGGGUAGUAAGUCUGAUAGUCUGUACGACCACUCCGAUGACGGUAGCACUGUUCUAAUCGAUACAAAUCUGGUACCAAGGGCCGUACAAGCGCUCGACGUAGCGGAGACGAGCGGUCUAGUUGCGCGGCAAAGACAGGCGACCGUAGAUACUCGAGAAGACGCGGCGCGCCCGUCGAACGUCACGAGAUCGUCGGCUGACGACCUGGACCGAGUAGGCGACACCGCGUCGAUCUCCACAGAGCUCCCCGCGAAAAUGACGGUCGACGAUCUCGCGAACGCGACUGCGACCGCGAACGCGCCGGCCAGCAAAGAAAGCGCGACGGAGUCGCGCGCGGCUGGACGCCCCGUGACGAGAAACGACGAGGUCGGUCGCGAACGUACGAUCGAGAAAAUCGCCGAGUCGCCGACUGAGCAGGACGAAACCGUCGCGCCCGUUACCGAGACCGAUCUGCCCGAGCUCGACGACCGGCCGAGCGAGAACGACAGCGUCGCGAACGGAGCGAAGCGAACGGCGCGGUUGCUCGAGGCCGCCGAGAUGAAGACGCACGUUAUCGGCACCGCGGCGUUAUCGAUUAACGAAAUCGCUGCGAAAUCGACGGCGAAUGGAGUCACGAGCCAUUCACCGUCGGCGUUGCCGACGGAAGAACGGGAAAGAUCGCUGUCGGCGAAUAAUGCCGGGGUUGAAGCGUCCUCCACGUCGGCCGAAACUUCCGCGCUCGACGCGACGAAUACGGAACCAGGUCGGUCCUCUCCUCGACGGGAAACUCGGAGCACCGCCGAAUUACGUAAUAUAGCGGGACAGAGCACUACGGAAGCGAACAACGAGGCGCUCGUCGAAGUUGGGAAGACUGCGGAUUCGAGCGAGGAAGCACUUGGGACCUCCGCGCGAGACUCGAGUGCUCCCGAACGAGCGGACAUAUCGAAGUCGCGGACGUCCUCGACCGCCGAUGCGGCGAACCAUCAGACGGAGAAGCAUCGCGACGCGUCGUCCGAGGAAGGGCCUCCCGCGACAGUCGACUCCGACCGGCAGAUUUCAAGGUUCACUUCCGGCCGGAACGAGGACUCAUCGCGUGUCGCGGCGAUGGAGGCUCUGAUGUCGGCCAUGAAGUCGCUGCCGGUGCACUUCCUCACACCCUUCGUCGCAGCGAUGCAGAUGUUGUCGCCGAGGAAGUCAGCGACGGAGGAGGGCGAUGUCGAGGAGGUGACGUCCGACGUGGAGCUGAUGAACCAAUUGAACACCCUGCGUAGCAUGAGAGCCGCCGCCGAAGAGCCGAGUCGAGCGUCCGCGACUGCGACGGCCGGCAACGCGGACAUCAUCCCGACGGGUCUUACCGGAAGCGGCGAGGAAGAGCAUCGUCGCGACGAGCCCGCUUCGCUCGCGAGUGAAACGGACGGAGCGCAGCCGAGGAAGGUUCUUGCCGGCGGCAAGGAGACGGCGACCAGAUCGAAAACUCCGGACUUUCGGCUGCUGGCGAGGUCCCGUUCCAGCGUUCCGGACAUUAGGGAGCAACACCAGGACGUCAGAUCGGUAUGUACAGACUCGAGCGAGCUCGACGCUUCGCGAACUAACGUCGCGACGUCCGAGAGCCCGCUGCCGGACCCGGUGGGCUCACGGCCCACGUUGACCGACGGAGACGUUCCCGGAGACGAGCCGUCGGCCACGAAUCAAGCGGAAACGCCGGCGAGUCGCGGAGCGAAGAAACUCACGGUCGAGGCGUCGCGGACGGACGCCGUCGCGAGGGAAGUACAAACGCGCGAGGGUUCUCGAGAGACGGUCGACGUGAAGACCGCGAGAAGUGACGAUCGGGAGACGAGCGAGUCGUUGGGAGCAUCUCCGAAGCACGCUGAGCCUGCGAUCGCGCGGAAGCCGCUCGCGCUUGCGAUCAUACUCCACGACACAUUGACCGACGUGUCAUCAUCGUCAUCAUCACCGUCACCGUCACCGUCAUCGUCAUCGUCAUCGUCAUCGUCAUCGUCAUCGUCACCAUCAUCAAAGGAAGCGAAGGACACUUCCGUCGCACGUAACGACAAGCUUGCCGCCGAUAACGCCGAUAACGCAGUCAUUGAACCGCUUGAAGUCAAGGACGACUCGUCGCGAAACGAGACUUCCCCGCCCGCCGCUGUUGCGAGCCUUCCUCACCCGGAAGAACUCAGCCCUCUCGUCGGCAGGGAGCAAUCGAUAACCGCGGAAAGGAGCGUCGCCCGACGCCGAGUUCCCGGCGCCGAUCGUCCGACCGAUCCGUGCGCGCUGAUAACGAACGCGACUAAUGAGCUGCCUGCGAGCGCACGAGACAUCGACGCGGGGAUCCUCGAUCGCACCGUCGACGUCGAGUCCACCACAGCCGACAGAAGCGACGCAAGAGCGAGCGUUCCCAAAAAUGCGCUGCACGUUUCGGAAAAAGUGGAGCAGACGAUUUCGGUUACAUAUCGCGUGGCCGCGGGCGACGAUAGAAACGGCAGCACGUCGGGGGAGAACGUGCCAUUCGGGCGAAAUGCAGCCGAUAAUUUAUCCAUUGUCCAGUCGCAAAUCAAUGAGAGUGUCCCGCCGAUACCGAUAGACCCGCACGCUCCAGUUGCGAUGAAUUGGAGCAAUUUGUGCGAUCAGAAGGAGGCAAUCGCAACUUCCAACAGCGCGGCGGACGCUCGAUCGUCGGCAGGAGCUGCGCAGGACGAUCAUCCAGCCGGUCAACGAGCGAUCACACUCGCGAUCGAUCGGCCGGCAGGGCCACAGAAAACGAUACCGCCUUCUCGCCCCGGCGACAGAGCCGCCGGGGUCAUCGUCCACGUCAGCGAAACGUCCGAGGACUCUGAGACUGCCGCAACGGAAAUAUUGGGAAGCAGCGAAGCGGACUCGCUCGAUCACCGUGAAAGCUCAGAUCCGUCGAAUGUUGAAGAGCUCGCUGGCUCCGCUGUGAGCAACGUCGAGGCGAACAACCGGGAAUUCACGGACACUAAUAACAACAACGGGCUGCCUCGAGGGUGCGUCGCCAGCGCUGCCGCCGCGGACUCGAGCGGGAGUGUUUCGCAUUCCAUCGGGCGAGUCGGGAAACUCGAUCUGGGAAAUGAAGUUUCCCAGCGAGCCCCCGACCACGGGAGAGGAGACGCGCGAGCGGCCUCGCCACCGGCGAGGAGAAGUAUCUUGCAAGCGCUCAAAGAGAAUCUCAAUGUAUUCUUCGCGUCGCACAGCGACGGGAGGAACACCGUCGCGAUGACGGUUAACGAGCAGUCCUCCUCCCCUCCGUCGACCCCUCCUGUCGCGGCGAGUAUCGGCGAGGUGACGUCCGGAACAGCUGAUACCUUCGAGAUCAAGAUAUCCGAGUCGGCCGUGAUAACGGUGAACGAUUGCGCGCCGAUCGGCGACAUCGCCAACGUCGCUGAACGUCGCCGAGAGGCGGCUAGUAUCGGAGAUAUUGACGCGAUCGACGUCUCGGCGAGAGCGGAAAACGUCGCGCCGUCGCCGUCGCCGUCGCCGCCGGAAAAGCGAGUCUCGGCGGUCGCGGCGUGUAACGAACCGUCCGAAUUGCCGUCGAAAUUGCCGAGUAACGACUCCACGCCGGCGGAGGAGGACCGCGCCGAUCUGCGGUCGAGUCAAGGUCGUAAGAACGCGAUCGCGAGACCCGUCGUAAAACCGAGAUCCAGGUCUCCGGUGAAAAAAGUCGUCCGCCGAAGAUCGCCUGUUAAAACAGCGAGGAGGUCCGGCGGCACUCCGUGGAGGAAUUCCGCGGGGAUCAGCACGAGCCCGAACAGCACGACCGUCACGAGGGCGAGGGAGACGGCCAGCGAGAUCGCGGAAAAGUCGAGUCUCUCGCAGCGGACGACGAGGAACGGCGAGCCGCGAAUGAAGCCUUCGAGGCCCGCGUGUAUCGCGCACGAUAAAGCGGACAUCAAGGACAAGUCGUCGCUCGCGUCGGACAAACCGAUCAAACGGCCGUUAGUCAGUUCCAGCGUGCGGAAAAGCGCGGGAGGUGUUAAGCCGAGCGACCGGAAAAAGCCUUCCGCGCUCGGCACGGAGAAAACGUCGAUGACAACCGUUAACGGGACUAAUCCGGAGCCGCAAGGUAAGCCGCUCGUUGCGAGGAAAGACAACGACGAUAGAUCGGAGACCCACAAAUCCGAACGCGUCACAGUACAGAGAAACGGGGAUGCUCGAGAUGAGAAAUCGGGCAAAUCGAGAACGAAGACGAAGACGGAGACUCCCGGGAAGCGAGCGGUAAAGAAGAUCGCGCUUCACGAAGCAGAAGCGAAAACCUCGAGAAAUGACGGAACGCCGGUGGACGCUGCGCCGACGCAGGGCAAAACUGAAGGCAAUUCGAGAUCCAAAGCGACUUCACCGUCAAAAAUACCCGUUUUAAUGUGUCGAAAAACUAGUCAACAGACAGGCCAGACAGGCCAAACUCCCUUGUUAAGAGCCCCCCCCCAAAAUUUGAGGGACACGUCAGUCCUGAAGAGUGUCUCGACCAAAUUACCGGUACCUUCGCAGGUCACUUCAAGAUUAACUCUGAAGAUACAAAGUAAGACGCUGAGUCCUUCAGCGGCACUUUCUGCCAGCGAUGGGAUUAAAUCCAGCACCGUGAGGGCAUCGCCGAUCGAAGAAAGCACGGAAGACGCUCGAAACCGGCAGAUCCCGAAGGAGAUCUGCACCGAGGAAGGCGGCGAGAAACAGCAAGCCGUGGAAGAGGCGGCAGCUCAACCGACAGACUCGGAAUCAAAGUUAAACGAGAAUUCGCGAGGGGCGGAAUGGACGCGCAACGAUCCGUCCGCGAAUCUCGGCGAGCGAACGGAGGUCGUUGAGGACGCGAUCGGGGAAAGCUCCGAUCCUCUCACUUCCGACUCCGAGUACUCGGAGGAAGACGAAGACACCGGAACGGCGCGGUACAUCUCCGAUCGUAACUCGGAGUACAGUUCCGUCGAAGAGUUCACGGACGCGGAACUGUUGUUGGAGAAAACGUUGAGUGAGAUAAGAUCCGAGAUAUCGGAGGACGACGAGGAGGAAGAGGGAGAGAGGGAUGAAGAGGAGGACGAGGAGCGAAGGAGCGAGUCCGAGGGGAGCGAGGACAUCACUUAUUCCUACGAGACGGAAAGCCACGAUCCGAGCCGCGAGUCUUCCGUGUCGUCCGCAGGUUUAGCCGACAAACAGCGACGGAUAGACUCGAGCGACUUGGAAGACUCGGCCGAGGAAGAUCGGUACGAGGAACUACCGUCCGAGAGCGAAGAGACGAGCGAGCAACUCCAAGUCUCGAACAAACAACUCGAAACGAAGGAGGAAACAGUCAACGACGCGCCAUGCGGCAAAGCGGACGAUCCUCUUCCAAGCAAGACCCUCUUCCGCGUCUCACACGAAGCGGACAGUGACAUCGAAGUGAGAACGGCAGAAGGUGAAGUGAGUAAACCGGAGCUAUCGACGGAAUCUACCGUUCCGCUCGCGGACUCGAUUCAAUCCCAAGCUACGGGAAAGGAAAUGGACGAAAAAACACUGCCUGUUCCUGAAGACCUCGAGCUCACGGAUUCUAAUACUCCCACGACGGGCCCGAAGCUCGAGCGGCUCGAAGGAGACGUCCAGCCGCUGGAGACCAGCUCCAAGGAAAGCGAGACGAAACCCGAGGGCAAGGCCGAGCGAGAGCCUCAGAGAUCAGCACCGGCCAUGGGGCAAAAUGGCGCAGCGAAGCUGUCGAGAGUCGCCAGCGAGAAGCGCGCCAAGAUAAUAAGCCGAAGGGCGAGCACGGGCAGCAGAGGGCUGAAGAGCGAGACGGACGACUCGCCCAAGGGGCCGAAUCGGGCGGGCGCGCCCCGGAAACGGUUCUCCCUCGUGGCCAGCUGCAUCCGUCGGUUCGAGGGCGAAGAGAGUGCCGAGAGGGCACGCGACAGCAAGGGCAACAGCAAGGUCGCUCGACGGCAGAUGUGGCGCGACGACACGCGAGGAUCUCCCAAAACGGAGCGGGAGGUCAGUAGUAGACGAGAGCUACCGGACUAUGACACCCACCAGCACGAGAGAAACAGAAAGACCCCUUAUAGACGUUUGCCAAAGAAUGAAAAAAAAAAGAAAGACCCGAUCGAGUCGACGAGUUCACGCCGCGAACCGAGUCACCCCGUCGAGACCUCCCGUCCCGUUGGCGGGCCAAACGUUCACGAACGACUCGAGAUGCCGGACGGGAAGCGAAAGUCGAGAGCGCGAGCCUCGUCGAACGGCUGAACAGACUCCCUCGGGAUACUCCAACCCCUUUGAUCGUUGAUCGCUGAUAAUGUAGCUUGACCGCGAUGUAACGGGCGCGUUGAGAAUCAGUGACUAACAUUCCGGGCGAGGAGAAUAGCGCGUCGCCUGCUGGCGGAGGGUCGAGCGGCGAAUUACGAUGAGGCCGAGGUGGCCGCUAGUCUGCUGGCCCUCAAGUUCGGCGACGCCGAGGCGCUCCAGGCCGCGAAGGAAUGCUCCAGCGUGGAGUCGGCCCUGGCCUUCCUGCAGCAGGAGUGCGAACUGUGCACCGG